rnacentral:lncRNA from 1 species
UGCAGGUGUUGCAAGACAGCAGAUGCAGCACUGCUUAAGGGUAUCCUGAAGUCCCAGAAAGUUUCUUCAGGUACAUUCCAGUGGAGAAGGGAGUCACCAAGGCUGGACAGAGUCGUUUAUCCUUGGCAGGACUAGCAAAAAAUCUUCAGCAUCUCUCAUCGCACACACGUGGUUUUUCCAGGUGGUGAAGAUGUGGAAGAGGAGAAACCACAUAAAAAUGCAAUCACAUGAAUAAAUGUUGCCUACAAUGGCUGAAUUCGACUGAAGAACUUACACACUAAAUCAGGAUGCACAGGCUCAUGUUUAUGCCUUUGUCCCAGGCACCAACUUCUGUUGAACUUCUUUGCUGACCCUGCCUGAAGGUGGAGUUAACUAAAUGUUGUGUAGAUCUGUCUCAUAUCACUAUUUAGCCCAUUUGCAGGUAGGUAUGAUAUUGUUAAAGUGGUGAAAAUGCCCCACAUUUGACUCAGUUGGAUAUUCUGCUCCAGCAGAUCAGGUUCUAAUUGGAAUCUUGGUUCACUUCACUUUUGUGGGCUAAGAUAUUCUAUUUGUACUUGAUUGAGCAUUGUAUUAAUGAUCCUUGAUAAUGCAGCUCGUCAAAUGUAAUAGAUUUCUUUUGUAAUUGACUGGCCAUGCCCACUCAAGAGAUAUAUGUUUGUUGCCUGGUUGAGUGUCUAAGUAAAGAAUUAAAUGAAUAAAUGAAAGAGUAACCUAAGAAAUAGACGACACUGGAGCAAUGAACUGAGACUUCAUUUAUUAGGAAGUAAUUAUUGAUAAUUUUGUAUACGAUCUUAAACUAUAACUAAUAUACUCAAAAUGCAAUAAUAGACAAGAUAGAAAUGGUCCCUUCUUUCAUACUUGUGGUUGAAAUAUAUUGUGUUGCUGAUGCUCCAUAGCUUUUUUACACGUGUUGUUUUCAUUUGUUUCAACUAACGGUAAGGAAUGUGGAUAUUUGAAUUGGCCAGUGCAAAAUGCAGUGACUUGGAAAGAGGGAAUCACCCUUAGUGAAUCAUAAACAAUAUUUGAAGGUCCUUCAGUGGUUUAUUAACUUCAAAUAAUAUAACUAGAUGGGUCUUGGUUUUACAAGUAACCAGGAAGUAAUGCAAAAAUCUUAGCAGGGGGUGGUAUCAAAAAUAUAAAGUUUGUGUAUAAAAAGCCUUUGAACUCAUGAAUUUGACAUAGACCUUAACUGAAAAUGCAGUUAUUUCUUGUCAGUUUAAAAAUAAAUAAAUAAUUUGUUAAAUUGAAAGCAAGGGAUCCCUAAUCAACUUAGCUCACAGGUAAUUUAAAAUAAACAUAAUGCUUAUUAACAGUUCCAAUAUUUGACUUUUUGCUCAACCUAAAUUUAGCAAUGUGAUGCGCUGAGAUAUAUCACAAUAAAGAACAGUUGCUUUAGUUUUGUGUUAUUUUGUUUUAAUUUA